GAGGGCCCUCCAACAUCAUUGUGUCCAUGCUGCGCCGUCGGUCGGCUAGAAGGCGUUGCAAGAGCUGCAGAACAACAAAACAUUCUCAGUGUGGAGGAAGCCCUGUCUCAUGUGUCAAGCUUAUAUUGUUAAGAGCCAGGCAGGUUUCACCUCAUCCUAAAGCUCACAAUGGGUGUGAUUACAGCUGAAAGGUGAUUCACAGCAAUGAAAACAAGCCCCCUUUCCCUAAAGGUUAUGACAGUGUCAGAAAGCAGGGAUGCUGUUUGCUGGCUGUCAGAAACAGAGAGGAGAGGAUAAUAGGCUGCGAUCUGUGACCCCUCUUCCUGGGCCCGCUGUUUAAGGGUCUGUACGUGGGGGCGGCUCAGGGAUGUCCUCAUUCAUGCUGCUAACUAACGAGUCCCUCAGGCCCAGACUGAAACCAGCAGUGCAGCAGACUAACAGCAUUACCAUGACAAAGGUCUGUGGUCGGAUGCAGUAUGAUAAAGGCACGGUAGAGAUAAAAAGACACCCCCUUAUUUCACACACUCUCAUUGGGGGUCAAACUAAAGCUCUCUAAAGCGUUCAAGCUUUCACAAUGUGAUAAGACAUGCCUGUGCAUCUAACACAUCAAUCUCCAGGGUCACAGUGGUUCUUUCAAACAGAGACAAAAUGUAUCAUGUAAAAUGAAUUUUUAACUAAGAACAUCUCUUCUUUUUUAUUCUGUCAAAACUCUUCCCAAGAUGGUAAUCAUUAAGUUUCUCUGAGGGUCAUACAGGUUCAAACACAGAUUGUAUUUUGUCUCUGUGCCCUUUUUAACCAUACAAUCAAUUAAUGGCUCAAACAUUCAGUCAGGACAAUGGAACACAUUCACUUCAAUGGACCAUAAACUAAAUCAGCCGAAACCAAUUUUAACAAUAAAAUCAUCAAACCCUCUUAAUUAUUUUAUGUAAUUGAUUCACAGCUCAUUGGAGAAGGUACAGUCAGUCUUCACAGAGGAUAUUCUAAUAAUUUAUUACCUCACCAUCUUGGUGCUCAUGUUAAUGUUUUGCGCUAGAAUGUCUCUCAGUUGAUGUGGCUCAAUAGAUUAACCCCAAUGACAAUGUUCUUUAUCUGUCUGUCUGAAUUAAUUCUGUCAGUGUCAAAGCACAAAACCCAGACGAGAUAAAAUAACAUGCUAUAGAUCCAUUGUCCCUUUGUACAAAUGAGUUUUAGUUACACUAGUCAGAAAAUCUGCUGACCUGGCAUGACCACAAAUGAGUUCCUUUUUUACUAUCCAGGCUCCACGGAUCCAGAGCAGCUUUGACUCUGACAAGUCUUUGUACAAAUAUUGGUUAUAAAUGGUUGUAUGACAAGAUCUACAGUUAUGUUCUAAAAAUGCCACAACAGUCAGAUCUGUGCACUCUUACCAUAAAGAUCCUGCUUUUCUUUCCCCCCUUGCCUCUUCCUCCCAUCUGAGUCUAAUGUCUUUUCAGUGUGUUCGUUCAUGUGUGCAGAGGGCCUCCAGUGCCAAGCACUUCUCUAGCCUGGCUGUCCAGCCAGGCACAAUGGGGCCUGAUUCCCCAGCCCGACUGUCCCCCUGUGGCCUAAAGAAGUCUCCCUGCAGGAGUGGAAGAGGACCACCUCGGUAUCCGUCUGAAUGUAGUUUACUACACUUUAAAAUUAAAUACGAUCAAUCUGCACUAACGUCUGUGGGGAAAUUGGGUUAUUGUAGUCUGUAAUGUAAUGCUGUAUGCCUCAUAGGGAAAACUGAAUGGAAGCACAAAAUAUUGUCUGAGAAAAAUAAUAAGACACUAUAUAAACAACAACAAAAAAUAUGAGGUUUAUAAGCAUAUUCACAGAUGCUCUUACAUAAAAGAUAUACACUGUAUCAAACAUAUUAGACAGCAUUUUUUUCUCAAUAGACAUAGCCAUCUAAAGUGUCUGUUAGCCAUGCUUGCCCUGUGCCACAGUGACAGUGGAUUAUAUGAAUGAGGUUGGACACAACUCACUGCCUUCAUUUGGAGUCUUGCUCAGAUUCCUCUCUACCCAUGCAAUUACAGUUGAACCAACAUGUGGCAGCACGUUUAUUUCAGCUAAUGCCCGGGAUCCACAGUACAUCAUAUCCCUCAUUCAAUUCCCUUUCAAAAAGGAAUUAAAAGAAAUGGCCUUGGUAACCUUUUAUUUUCAGUGUGCUCUCUUUCUUAUCCCAAAAGACCACUGUAAUCCUUCAGGGUUAUAACUCAAUAAUGAUGCAAAGUUGUUGCAUUGUUUCCCAGUGUUAUGAGGGCCCUACAAGUAUCUUAUUAGACUUUAGAAGAACUAUAGUUUGCUGACAUACACAAUGAGAGAGAGAGUAGACAUCUAAACUAAACUCCCUGAUAAUCAUAGUUCAUGACUGUUGUCACCUCAGGCGGAGGAUGUGAUGGCUGAAAUAAAUGAACAGUAAAGAUGCUUUUGAGCAUGGGAUGAGGGGAAACAGAGAGUAAAGAGAGGUAGAGAGACAACAGCAGGCAGACAGCAGGCAGACAGACAGGAAACCCAACUAACCCUGGGGUCCAGGGGAGGCAGCCUCAUCUCCAUGUUCCUCAGCCACUGUCUCAGUGCUCUGAUUUGACCCCUGAACUCACACUGCCAUUGGCUCAAGUCCUCCAUGUGCCUCCUAAAACAGGAGAGAAGUAAUACAAAGUGUUUGCUAUGUUGAUUAUAUUUUAUGAUCAAAUAUAUCAAACCUACAGUCAGGACACUGGAACGUAAAAUUUGCAUUUGAAACUAAAUCAAACCUAAGAUAUGUAGUGUCUUAUCUAUUGCACAUGUUGAACUGUGGAGAACAGUAUUGUGCUCCCAUUUACGCUGAGUGUGUACUAUGGAAGUGACAAUAAACAUGAUUCUGAUAUAUAUUUUUGUCUUUUUCAUAUCAAGAAUAAACCCACAGUGUCGCUUAAUAUGACUUCUUCAUAUUGCAUUAAGUGAUCCAAUGUGCUAGCAUUUAUGGAAUAGCUGUACUAUGAAUACAAAAUGUGCACUUUAGUUUUGUUUUUAUUGAAUGAAGCAGAUGAUGUCUGACAGGAAGCAGGUGAUUUGGACAACAGACACAAGAGCAUAGUCAUCACUUGUACUUUGGCAGGAAGAGCUAAAACAAGGCCUUUAAGAAUUAUCGUUCUCAUCAAUGGUUAACCAAGUCUCCUCAGUUGAAAACGUUUGCAAAAUAUCUCAUUAGGAAGGCAUCUGCUCUCUCUGUCUGUUGGGCUGGAACCUUAGUCUUCUUGUUUCAGUAUGUUUCAAUUAGAUGUUUUACACUGUGUGCUCACGUCACAAUUCAUAGUUCUGUCUUUGUGUUGUUGGCAAAUACAGACCGGUCUACAAAGCUGAUACAAUCGACCAACUGUCGUCACAAGCUGUUUGGUUUGUUUAAUCUGACUGUUGGUGGCCAAUUUGCCAGAUUCAUUCAUUUUAAUUACAAAGUGCCUAUCUAUGUGAUGAACCUUGGUGCUUAUUAUAUAUUGGAUAGUAUUUCUAAAAGGUUGAAUAUUUUAAUUUGUACAAAUUCAUCAGUUUGUCAAGGGCACAGUACCCAAUACUUGUGGCACUCCGUCAAGAAGAAUGGACGACAAUCUAAUA